AUGAAACUCGUCAGUUGGAAUUGCCAGGGACUUGGGAACGGCCCGGCAGUUCAAUCUCUUCUCAAACUGGGAAGAAUGGAGGAUCCCAAUAUCUUAUUUCUUUGUGAGACUAGGCUGAGGGAGAAGGAGUUGGGAAGAUUUUGGUGGUUGUUGGGGCUCGCCAACAUGGUUGCUUGGAAGGAUGAGGGGAGUGGGAGAGGGGUGGCACUUUUCUGGAGGCAGGGAGUUGAUGUCAAUCUCAGAUCAUAUGGGAGGAGGCACGUGGACGUUGAUGUAACGAGGGAGGAUGGGUCGGUCUGGCGGCUAAUGGGAGUUUAUGGAGAGUCUGAAUUAAGUAGGAAAGCAGAAACAUGGAGAUUGUUAAAGAUUCUAAAACAACAACAUCAGGCAUCCAGGCCGUGGUUGUGCUUUGGAGAUUUUAAUGAGAUUCUAGCAAGCAACGAGAAGGUGAGGGGUGCAGUUCGGCCUCAGCAAUACCUUGAUGCUUUCAGGGAGGCACUUGACUAG
rnacentral:rRNA from 1 species